rnacentral:lncRNA from 1 species
CCCUUUCCAUCCAUUCCCUGAAGACGUCAAGUCGAGCUCCCCUUCUCUCCGUUCUCUUUCAUCUCCACCGAUGAUGACCAGUCCACUCUCCAAGUCACCACAAGCGUUCUCCUCACCGGUGACAUUUCCGUCUUCCUCUUCUUCUCCUCCCGUCUCCGAGCAAAGUGCCAAAGAACUGGUUUGAUUUCUGAUUAAUGGUUCGCAUUAGUUUGUUUAUUUUUAUAUCUAGGGUUUAGUUUGUGAUAUGUGAAGAGUAUUUGGAGCUUAUGUGUCGGUAUUAAUGAUUACUGAAUUAGGAAUAUUGUAUGUUUGAUAGAAUAUGAGAUCUGUUCGCUUUUUGCCCUGUCACGAACACCUCUCUCGUAGGCAUUGAUAAACAGAACUAUAUUCAUUUGUUUCUAGCAUAGUUAGCUUGUUUUCGUGAUUAACAUUGAAUUAGAUCUUUAAAUGUUUACGUUUAAUCUAUUAUUGAUGAUGGUAUUGAUUGUUUUAUUUUCCUCAUUCAUGUCUGCAGAAGUGAAGUUUAAACUAUAAAGAAGGAAAACCUAACAAAAAAUGAGCUAUGUCUUUAGAUUCAGUCAUGUUAUCAUUCUUGUUUACAGAUUUGUUAAGCAGUUUUGUUUGAGCUUUUAAUGGUCAUUUUUUGUUGUGAACAAGAGUUUGUACAAUUCCAUACUUGAAGAUCUUUGUAAUUGUGUACAAUUUAACAAAUCAACACUUCCACCAGAUUGUUUCUACACUUUGUUUACACCCAUAACAGUUAUUUAUGUGCCCUCUUGCAAAAUUUCAUUUUGCACUAAUAUUUUAGGUCUGCGUUGAGCUCAUAAGUGUUGGAUCUUUGUCUGCUUGCUUUAGAUUAGAUGGUUCAUCAAUAUCUCAUCAUGUAUCGCUGGUUGCUGGUGGAUUCUCUUAUUCAUCACUCAAGAAUUGGGAUAUUGCAAAACUUGGGUGUAUGGCAGUUGUAAGUUGUUUUGAACCUGUUCGGGGCUGCUAUGAUAUGAAGGUUGCAAGCUUUUGAUUUGGGUUGUUUCGGUGGAGGAAUCGACCCGUCAUCGAUGGUAAACGAUUUGUUUUCGUUAUGUUUAAUGUUUACCAAGAUUGUAAGUGAUUUUGGUAUCUAUUAUUGAAGGUAAAUAAGUUAAGGGGCUGCUGCGUUUGGUUCCUGUUUACUGCAAGAUAAAGGGUUUAAACUACUUGUUUUGGUGGAAAAUUGGACCUACAAUCUUCGGUAAGAAGUUCUAGUUUGUUAAGUUUCAUGUUAAUUUCAGUUUUAAAGGUUCUAAUGAUGUUUUUGGUGGCUGUAUGUCAUGUUUGGUUUUAAUGAGUUUAUUAACUCACUAAUUAAUAAACAUUAAAGGUUCUAAUGAUGUUUUGGGGCCCUUUUUUCUUAAGAAAAUUGUUAUAAAAGAGAAUGCCAAACUUCGUGACCUAUCUAACAGAAAAAAGAUAACACUAGAACCAAUUAAAAUCUUUUUAUAUGAAAAAAGCCAUUUACAUACAAAUCUGGAAAAGUUGUAAAGUCGAGCCAGAUUGAUUUUUAUUGGGCUGAGCUUAAGUUUAUUUCAGCUCAACUUUAUUUUCAAGCUGACCCAUGUGAGCUCGGUAUGAAGUUCGAGUUGAGCUUGAGCUUGGCUCAGCUCGGCUCGGCUUGUUAACAACUUUUAAGUGUUCCCCACUGCAUUACGCGGAGACCACUUUAUAUGCUAAAAUGAGUUUAUAUUUUGUAGGAUUGGUAAACUAAUAGAAAAUGAUUUCCGUGAUGCAAAUUGUUGUUAUUGCAGCAUCGAGUUUCUUACUAGUGUAACUCAUUUACUUUGAUUAUCGCAUAAGGCAUGUAUAUAUUGGUCGAUUGUAGUUUAGUCGGACUUGUAAGUCAUGGAUUUGGAUCUUCAUGUCUUAUAUGCAUAUGUAGGGUAGAUUUGGAACAUGUCUUAUGUGUAUGCAUGUGCCCUCGUGUAUACAUUUUAAGCUUCAUUUUAUUAACAUGACGUUUUAUUUUGUUAGGCAAUUUCUACGGUUUCGGUUGCAAGUAUGAAUUGAAGACGUCGGUUUGGGUUGCAUGUAUGAAGGCAUCGGUUCGGGAAGUUAUUGUAUAUCACUUUCAUCUUUAGAGAUAUAUGUAUUUGUGUUACUUUGAAACUUUUGUAAUUGUGUCACUUUGAAACCUUUGUAAUUUAUAUUCUUGGGGUUAUUUUAAAUUGGUUUUUAUU